rnacentral:rRNA from 1 species
UAGUGGCGGACGGGGUGACUAAUGCGUGAUCAACCUGCCCUGUCAUAAGGGGACAACACUUGGAAACGACUGCUAAUACCGCAUAAUGUAUUCGGAAGGUAUCUUCUGAAUACCAAAGGAGAAAUCCGCUGAGGGAUGGCCUCACGUCUGAUUAUGUACCUGGCGAGGUAACGGCUCACCAAGACUGCAAUCAGUAGCCGGACUGAUAUGUUGAACGGCCCCAUUGCGACUGAGAUACGGACCAGACUCCUACGGGAGGCAUCAGUGGGAGAAUGAUUGGGCAAUGGGAGAAAGCCUGACCCAGCAACGCCGCGUGAAGGAAAAACGUCUUCGGGUUGUAAACUUCUUUUAAUAGGGACGAAUAACUGACGGUACCUCUUGAAUAAGCCACGGCUAACUACAUGCCAGCAUCCGCGCUAAUACAUAUGUGGCGAGCGUUAUCCAGAUUUACUGGGUGUAAAGGCCGCGGAGGCGGGAAUGCAAGUCUCAUGUGAAAUCCACGGGCUUAACCCUUGAACUGCAUUUGAAACUGUAUUGCUUGAGUGUCGGAGAGGUUGACGGAAUUCCUAGUGUAACGAUGAAAUGCUUACAUAUUAGGAUGAACACCAAUGUCGAACGGGGUCAUCUGCACGAUUACUGACGCUGAGGCGCGAAAGCGUGUGGAGCAAACAGGAUUUAGAUACUCUGGUAGUCCACGCAGUAAACGAUGAAUACUAGGUGUGGGGGGACUGACCCCCUCCGUGCCGCAGUUAACACAAUAAGUAUUCCACCUGGGGAGUACGACCGCAAGGCUGAAACUCAAAGGAAUUGACGGGGUCCCGCUCAAGCAGUGGAUUAUGUGGUUUAAUUGGAAGCAACUCGAAGAACCUUAACAGGGCUUGACAUCCAACUAAAGAAGCAGAGAUGCAUUAGGUGCCCUUCGGGGAAAGUUGAGACAGGUGGUGCAUGGUUGUCGUCAGCUAGUGUGGUGAGAUGUUGGGUUAAGUUCCUCAACGAGCGCAACCCCUAUUUUUAGUUGCUACGCAAGAGCACUAUAUCGAGACUGCCGUUGACAAAACGGAGGAAGGUGGGGAUGACGUCAAAUCAUCAUGCCCCUUAUGUUCUGGGCUACACUCGUAAUACAAUGGCAUUUAACAGAGGGAAGCAAAACCGCGAGGUGGAGCAAAUCCCUAAAAGGUGUCUCAGUUCGGAUAUCAGGAUGCAAUUCGCCUGCAUGAAGUCGGAAUUGAUAGUAAUCGCGGAUCAGCAUGCUGCGGUGAAUACGUUCCCGGGCCUUGUACACACCUCCCGUCACACCAUGAGAGUCGGGAACACCCGAAGUCCGUAGAUUAACCGCAAGGAGGGCGCGCCCGAAGGUGGGUUCG